rnacentral:tRNA from 1 species
GAAGCUUUAGGUUAUGUUUUAUAAACCCUUGGCCUUCAAAGCCGACCAAGUCACUAACGGCAAGCUUUG